GAUGAAGAACGCAGCGAAAUGCGAUAAGUAAUGUGAAUUGCAGAAUUCAGUGAAUCAUCGAAUCUUUGAACGCACAUUGCGCCCUCUGGUAUUCCGGGGGGCAUGCCUGUUCGAGCGUCAUUAUAACCACUCAAGCUCUCGCUUGGUAUUGGGGUUCGCGGUUUCGCGGCCCCUAAAAUCAGUGGCGGUGCCUGUCGGCUCUACGCGUAGUAAUACUCCUCGCGAUUGAGUCCGGUAGGUCUACUUGCCAGCAACCCCUCAUUUUUUUAAGGUUGACCUCGGAUCAGGUAGGGAUACCCGCUGAACUUAAGCAUAUCAAUAAGCGGAGGA
rnacentral:misc_RNA from 1 species